UACAGAGGUCCCAAGCGUUGUUCGGAUUCACUGGGCGUAAAGGGCGCGUAGGCGGCUGGUGAAGGCUUGUGUGAAAGUCCGGGGCUCAACCCCGGAUCGGCACGGGCGACUCGCUGGCUGGAGCCCACUAGAGGCGGGUGGAAUUCCGGAUGUAGCGGUGGAAUGCGUAGAGAUCCGGAAGAACACCGGUGGCGAAGGCGGCCCGCUGGGGUGGAGCUGACGCUGAGGCGCGACAGCGUGGGGAGCAAACAGG
rnacentral:rRNA from 1 species